rnacentral:rRNA from 1 species
CAGAACGAACGCUGGCGGCGUGCUUAACACAUGCAAGUCGAACGCGAAAGGGACUUCGGUCCUGAGUAAAGUGGCGCACGGGUGAGUAACGCGUAGAUAACCUGUCUUCAUGUCUGGAAUAAUACGCCGAAAGGGGUACUAAUACCGGAUAUUCUUGCUUUUCAUAAGUUAUGCAAGCAAAGGUGGCCUCUGCAUAUGCUACUGCAUGAAGAGGGGUCUGCGUACCAUUAGCUAGUAGGUGGGGUAGUGGCCUACCUAGGCGACGAUGGUUAGCGGGUCUGAGAGGAUGAUCCGCCACACUGGCACUGGAACACGGGCCAGACUCCUACGGGAGGCAGCAGUGAGGAAUAUUGCGCAAUGGGGGAAACCCUGACGCAGCGACGCCGCGUGAGUGAGGAAGGCCUUCGGGUCGUAAAGCUCUGUCAAGAGGAAAGAAGUGUACAAUGGCUAAUACCUGUUGUAUUUGACGGUACCUCUAAAGGAAGCACCGGCUAACUCCGUGCCAGCCGCGGC